GAUGAACGCUGGCGGCGUGCCUAAUACAUGCAAGUCGAACGAACCGCGACUAAGUGCUUGCACUAAGUCAAGGUGAGUGGCGAACGGGUGAGUAACACGUGGGUAACCUACCUCAUAGUGGGGGAUAACAGUCGGAAACGACUGCUAAUACCGCAUAGGACAUAGGAUCACAUGAUCCAGUGAGGAAAGGUGGCGCAAGCUAUCGCUAAGAGAUGGACCCGCGGUGCAUUAGCUAGUUGGUAGGGUAAAGGCCUACCAAGGCGAUGAUGCAUAGCCGACCUGAGAGGGUGAUCGGCCACAUUGGGACUGAGACACAGCCCAAACUCCUACGGGAGGCAGCAGUAGGGAAUCUUCCGCAAUGGACGCAAGUCUGACGGAGCAACGCCGCGUGAGUGAAGAAGGUCUUCGGAUCGUAAAGCUCUGUUGUUAGAGAAGAACAGCGCAUAGAGUAACUGCUAUGCGUGUGACGGUAUCUAACCAGAAAGCCACGGCUAACUACGUG
rnacentral:rRNA from 1 species